AUAUCAAUAAGCGGAGGAAAAGAAACCAACAGGGAUUGCCUCAGUAACGGCGAGUGAAGCGGCAACAGCUCAAAUUUGAAAUCUGGCGCUUUAGGGUCCGAGUUGUAAUUUGUAGAGGAUGCUUCUAGGCGUCGGCAUCCGGUCUAAGUUCCUUGGAACAGGACGUCAUAGAGGGUGAGAAUCCCGUAUGUGAUCCGGCCUUGCACCUUGCAUACGUGAGCUCCUUCGACGAGUCGAGUUGUUUGGGAAUGCAGCUCUAAAUGGGAGGUAAAUUUCUUCUAAAGCUAAAUACCUGGCCAGAGACCGAUAGCGCACAAGUAGAGUGAUCGAAAGAUGAAAAGCACUUUGGAAAGAGAGUCAAAAAGUAC
rnacentral:rRNA from 1 species